AUGAAAUGAUGCAGUUUUCUGCAGAUAAGGUUCUGACGAUCUUCUCAUCCCAAUUGGAUCCAGCUCUCCUCUCUCUAACUGCACGAGACCUGAAUCAGGUUUAAAGUUGCUGAUGGGACGGCCUCAGGGUUUGAUAAGGUGUGAAACAAUGGUGUGGGCGUUGGAAAAGGCUCAUAAGUUGAAGGACAGUCGGCUCAUUGGUUCUCUGACGGCUGGCACCGUCUCACAGCUCUGAGAUGACACUGUCAUAUUUUGAAACAUCUCUGUCUGUCUGUCUGCCUGUCGCUUGGCGCUGCUGCGCUUCCCUCUGUCUCUGUGUUGCUCUUUUGUUUAGGACCACACAGAGGGAUGACAUGUUGGAGGCACAUCCAGGCUGGGUGGCCCGGCUGCAGGAAAGAUGUGGGUGACAGGAUCAGCCUUCAACAGACUAUGGGAGUAAUGCGUGUAGACAGUGUAUAACCAGUCUUUUGGGGACCUGUAGAAAAAGCAACGCUGGCAAUUCUGAAUAAAUGCACUUUAGAAAAAAAGAGAAGCAACAGAAAGAAAGUUCUUUGGGAGCCUUGUUUUAGCUGCAGCCUCAUGCAUCACACUCUCAUGCACUACUAAUGUCUUUAAGAAA